rnacentral:rRNA from 2 species
GGACUACACGGGUUUCUAAUCCCGUUUGCUCCCCUGGCUUUCGCGCCUCAGCGUCAGGUGAGGUCCAGCACGCCGCUUUCGCCACCGGCGUUCCUUCCGAUAUCUACGCAUUUCACCGCUCCACCGGAAGUUCCGCAUGCCCCUACCUCCCUCGAGCCCCGCAGUAUCAGGGGCACUUGUCCGGUUGGGCCGAACGAUUUCACCCCUGACUUGCGAAGCCGCCUACGCGCCCUUUAAGCCCAGUGAAUCCGAACAACGUUCGCACGGUUCGUCUUACCGCGGCUGCUGGCAC